CGUGGUGGGAUGGUACACACUAUUUGGCCAAAUGGUAUGCUAAGAACCUCUAUAGCAGUAUUGCAGUUCCAUAUUAUACAUAUGAGAACUGUAUUUCUGGGGGAUUAGCAGAUGGCUGCAGCUGCUAUUAUACCUUGAGCAGUUGCCCCAUAGUCUAAUGACCACAACUGCCGUCAACCCUUAACUGCUGAGAAUUAUUAUUAUUAUUAUAUUUUUUUUUAAAGCCCAGGAGAGGGACACUUAUUUUUAUUGGGUCUGUACCAAUGAGGUUACCUUUUCAUGGUAAGAUGGUACUAUUUGGCCAAAUGGUAUGCUAAGAACCUCCAUAUUUGUUUUUUCUCCAGCAGUAUUGCAUUCAUAUGCUGUAUAUACUGUACAUAUUGCUUAGUGCCAACAGUGCACUACAGAUUUUUUUUUGUUUCUAGAAAAAAAAAAAAGAAGCUUUGCAGCCACGGUUACAUCUUCAGCAGGUGUCUAGUUAAUUUUACACACAAAAAAAAAAAACAUAACCGUGUAAUUUGGUCAUCACCCCACAUUUUGGAGCCAAACAUUUGUGUUCUGGUAGAUCAGGGGUAGAUUUUAUUUUAUUUAUAUUGUUGUUUUUGUGCUAGUUUUUUUACUAUUGUGGGAGAUUUUUAAUAUGCAGUUGAAAUAGUGUCAUACCUUUUUUUUUUUUUUAGUGCUACUUUUGGUUACUUUAGUAUUCAGUGGUUCCAAAGAUUUGCAGUUUAAAGUUUACUUCAACUUACUGAUUUUUCUUUUUCUAGGUUAAACAAGUUCAUUCUGCUACCUGGUGUAGUAGGCCAUGGCAAGAAUCUUAAACUUACUACCUCAACAGCCAUUGAAUCUGCUCAAGACAUGACAUCUACCUAAAAAUCGCAUGGUAUGAGACGUUCAUUCGACCUGUUACAGAAGAUAAUGUGAAGAUUGUGAAGUACCUUACCAUACUCUGCUCUACUCAUGCUAUUAGCAAAAGACUUGAAAUCUUGACAAAAUCAUGACUCUGACAGUAACAUCGAAGUCUUUGCUGAAGCAGCUACCAGAGGCCUUAGAGACCAGUGUUAAUCAUCUAGAGUACCACCAAGCUACAACUCUCCUGCAAGUCUACAAGUCUGUCUGCUGUCACUGAACAGGACCUUUUUGAUGUGUCCUCCUCGCGCUGAACAGAAAUUCUCAUCAAAGUGAAACCACCACCAUCGUGGGCAUUGACCUCUACCCCAUUUAGUUAGUGGAUAUCUGCCCUGACUGGAAGGAGCUGCUACUAGAAACAGGAAUAUUUGGUGUUGCCUUCUCACUCUGUAGACACAUUCCCAGGAGAAUAAUACUACCAACCUCCGCAUCAGCCUCAGCAUUACUGGAUAUCUGCCCCAUCUGGAAGAAGCUACUAUGAAACACCUGCUGUGGAUGUUAGAAGAACCUUAGACUUCCUCCCUUACUGUACUCUCCUCUAGUGAAUGAAUCACCAGAAGGCGCGGCAUCUACUCAAUCAUGUGGAACACUUGAUGCUGCCUCCUCACAUUAGACAAAAAUUAUCAUGGAAGUGUGACCACCACCAUCGUGGGCAUUGAACUCCAUCCCAUCCAGAUACUGGACAUCUGCCUUGACUGGGAGAAGCUACUGCUAGACAGUAUGAAAAGUAAAUUCUACUGCCUGGUGUGGAUCUAAGAAGAGCCUUAAACAAUGAAUUAUCUUAAGGGGGCUGGCCACAAUAUCCUUAAUGUUUUAAGUGCUGUAAUUGUAAAGUUCUGUCACUCAUGGUUACUUGCUCCUGCUGUGUUUCAGACUCUGAGGUAAAUUAAUCGUCCCAUUCUUCUCCGCGCUUGGCCGUGUUAUGGACAUGAGUGCCAUAUUCACCGCAGAAAAGGACAAAGCAGAAUGGAGUCGGGGCUUCUUGUAAAGUGAAAACAGGGCACAGCAGGAGCAAGUAACUGAGUGAUGAAACUUUACAAUUUCUGCACUUUUUUGCAAUGGUCUCCCCCCUUUAACGUCAUUGAAUCAGCAUAAAAUGUGCAUCUGGCUGUAUACUUAUGAUUCUCACUCAAUAGGAUCAGUUUGGCAUUUCUGCUUACUGCUUUGUGUAGUCGAAAACCAUCACAUAUGAAGAACAUGGAGACCUUUGUGUGCCAAAUCUUU